rnacentral:rRNA from 1 species
UGUAACCUACGGGGGGCAGCAGUGAGGAAUAUUGGUCAAUGGGCGGGAGCCUGAACCAGCCAAGUCGCGUGAGGGAAGACGGUCCUAUGGAUUGUAACCCUCUUUAGGCGGGGAGCAAUGCCGGGCACGCGUGCCCGGAGGGAGAGUACCCGCCGAAUCAGCAUCGGCUCACUCCGUGCCAGCAGCCGCGGUAAUACGGAGGAUGCGAGCGUUAUCCGGAUUUAUUGGGUUUAAAGGGUGCGUAUGCGGAUUUUUACGUCAGCGGUCAAAUGCCCGGGCUC